rnacentral:rRNA from 1 species
CGUAACAAGGUCUCUGUUGGUGAACCAGCGGAGGGAUCAUUACUGAGUUUACGCUCUAUAACCCUUUGUGAACAUACCUAUAACUGUUGCUUCGGCGGGUAGGGUCUCCGCGACCCUCCCGGCCUCCCGCCUCCGGGCGGGUCGGCGCCCGCCGGAGGAUAACCAAACUCUGAUUUAACGACGUUUCUUCUGAGUGGUACAAGCAAAUAAUCAAAACUUUUAACAACGGAUCUCUUGGUUCUGGCAUCGAUGAAGAACGCAGCGAAAUGCGAUAAGUAAUGUGAAUUGCAGAAUUCAGUGAAUCAUCGAAUCUUUGAACGCACAUUGCGCCCGCCAGCAUUCUGGCGGGCAUGCCUGUUCGAGCGUCAUUUCAACCCUCAAGCUCUGCUUGGUGUUGGGGCCCUACAGCUGAUGUAGGCCCUCAAAGGUAGUGGCGGACCCUCCCGGAGCCUCCUUUGCGUAGUAACUUUACGUCUCGCACUGGGAUCCGGAGGGACUCUUGCCGUAAAACCCCCCAAUUUUCCAAAGGUUGACCUCGGAUCAGGUAGGAAUACCCGCUGAACUUAAGCAUAUCAU